CUUCGAACACCUGGAACAAUUUGGAGAUGAAUUGAAGAACAUCUAUAAUAGUGUAACAUCUUCACAAUAUACAAAACACAUGAUCGAAAAAGUAUGUGUCGAUAUGCAUACAAAUAUGUGGUUAAUGAAAGCUGCGAUGGGUGAUAACGCUCUUUUGGCAAUGAUUGAUCAACAAGUUUUAAACGUACAACCCGUACAGUGAUUUCUACGCUAUGUAUAUACAUCGAACACUUUUCUCCAAAUGAGAGUGAAUUUAAUAUAAUGCCUCCAAACUCUAAAAAAAAUUCGUUUCAUGUUAGCAAACUUGUACUAGAGGUAUUAGAUCCAAUAAAUAAAAAUUUAUUGAAACAACAAA